ensembl:lncRNA
ACACACACACACAGAGUCAUCAUACUGUCACUGAACCUCUCCGGUCACUCCUGCUCUAAACCUCAUGAAGAGUAACGUUCCUGUCCUUCGUGAGAGCUGUAUCUGCGGUGUAUGUGGCUGAACUGUGUCCCAGUCUGUUGCUCACCACGCAGGUGAAGUGUCCGCAGAAGCUGACGCCGGAGACGUACAGAGACCCAUCUGCCGAAACGUGACCCACCUUCUCUGUUACUAGCACUUUCUCAUGCAGCCAAGUGAAGGUGGGCUCAGUUCCCCAGGCCUCCAUACAGUGAAGAACCCAGUGAGACACAUUCACCAUCACCGACACGUGAUGCACCGCCACUGACCACACACACACACACACACAGAGAGAGCUCAAUUACUGGAGAAGUGCACAAGGACACGAUAAAGACAGAAAUGGGUCACUACUAUCAUGGAGUGCAUUUUUCUCACCAUACUGAAUGUUACUGUAAUAAUCUCUCAUUUUAUCAUUUUACUAUCUCUCUCUCUCUCUAUAUAUAUAUGUAGUAAAAUCAUAGAUUAUUAUACUUAGUUUUUAUAUAGAAUAUUAAACAUUCUAAAUAUAAAAAUGUCUUAACCUACAAUGAUUGUGGAUGAGUGACUUAUAUAGUUAUGUUUUUAUUUUGUUUUACCAGGAGGUUGUGUUUCAUCAUGACAAUCUUGUAUUAGAUUUUUUUGAAAGUAAUUUAUAUUAAAAUAGACUUAAUAAAAAGUGCAUUUUAUGUUUAAAAAUAUAAAGUGUAUAAAAACUAAAAUAAGCAGUCUGUAUAACAUUGUAAGUGAAUUUAAAAUAAUUUCAGUACUUCGGUACACUUAAAGUAAUUGUUUCACUAAUGUUUCAUGUUUCAAAAUAUGACAUCAUCUUCCAGGAAGUGACAUCAUUUUGGAGGGAAAUCAGCAACAUAAAUAUCAAGUAAGCAACAGUAUUACAUAUUAUGAAUGAUAUCAGUUAUCCAAAUAAUUCUGGAAAUACGUUUUGGAUGAUUUUAAAACUUUAAUCUUAUUUUUUUUUUAACCCUAUAAUGCAUAUGUGUGACAAAUUUGUUCUUUUUUUGUAUGUCUUGCAUGAAAUGUUCCAGGAAAUGUCUUUCAUAAUGAUAACUAGUUUUGUUUGCGAUGCACUCCAGUCCAUCAAUUAACAUCUUGUGAAGCCAAGAGCUGCAUGUUUGUAAGAAACAUUGGUGAGCAAAUGAUGGAAUGCCACAUUUCUCCAGAUCUGUUCUGAUGAAGAAACAAACUUGUGUACAUCUGGCCUGAGGGUGAGGACAUUUUCAGCAGUUUUCACAUUUUCAGCAAACUGGCUGAACUGUUUCUUUAAGUGCACACAUUUUUGGAGAAGAAUAUAGCAGCACAUGUGAAAUGAAUUGAAGGCUUUAGUGGAUCUUACGAUACUCUUGAACGGUUCGCUGUGCAGAUCGUCUCUGUCCUGACUGCUCUGUAACUGUGUCACUCUCUCAUCUGGACUUUAAGAGGAAACUCAGCCAGCGCUGAACUCUUUCCAGAAUCUUUGUAACAUGGUCCCAUGUCACUUUAGCAACAUGUUCACCAUCCAGUAGCUGGAUUUGUGCCUGUAGGAUCAGAUUCUGGCCUUUGAUUACAUACUGCUGGUUUGUGAAGCAGACGGACAAACACUGGCUGCUCCAGAGCCCUGCCACGUGCAGAAGCAGGACAGUCCUAACGAAUGGCUGUAGUUGUGCUUCCAUGUCUCCUACAGCUGUAAGACU